rnacentral:lncRNA from 1 species
GUGAAAUUAACGGUUCCGUUGCUGUUGGCGUGCGGGGGCAGGGUGAGCUGCCGCGGCGGAGGGCUCUGCUGUGGGAUCUCUGUCGGAAUUGGUACUGGCGGCGGAAAAGAAGCGAUAAACUCCGCUCAGUGCCGCUAAAUCCAAUAGGAGUUGUGAAUGAAAGCACUGUAUAACGAAAAAAAAAAAUCAGUUUGUAUAUUUACGUGGAAAGCGGGCCUUAAGAGAUGCAGUUUUUUCUGUGUGGAUUAGUGGAGAUGGUAGUCCCCUGGAAAAUUCAAUUUUCACAGAGGGAGAAUAAGGACACAAUUACUUGUUUGUUUCACUCCUUUUUUUUUUUUUUUUUGUAACAGUGCCAUAAGCACAGUCUCCAAAACUCAGUUUCAUUAAAACUGUAUCCCCGUUGAAAUUGAGAAUCUCUGCAUUUAAUCGAUAACACAUGAUUUUAACUUAUUUCUCCAAACAAACCUCUAGGCUCAUAAAUAAUACAGAGCUUUGCACAAAAGAAGAACGUAUUUAGCCAGACAUGCCAUCAGCUGUCGUUAGCCAUAUGGCAAAGCUACAGUGUUGGCAAGUAUUCCCGCUGCUUUGNNNNNNNNNNNNNNNNNNNNNNNNAACAAACUUUCUCAGUGAAUUUCACUCUUAGGCAACCAUAACUUUUCUCUUAAAUGUUCUGACCUGCAUUUCUUGUAUUUCUGAACCAACGGGCUUGUAAAUCUCUGUUUCUUUUAGAUGCCCUGAUUUUAUCAGCUCCUCCCUGAAAGGUGGGGUUUCUCAGGAGACUUCCAUAAAGAGGGAGCGAGUGGGCAAACGCCCCUCUCUAGGAGGGUUUCCCGAGUUUGCUAGACAGGGAACCACACCUCAAGCAGAGAGGAGACACCAGAGUGUAAUUCAUACCACAGUUAGUGCUUACAGCUCUGACUCUAGUUUUCACUUGGCUGCUGAAGUUGGCUUCCUGGAACGUUCAGUGAGGAAGAACUGAGAAAAGGGGCUGAACAUAAAGCAUCUCAAGUGUUUUUACUUCUUCGUGUUCCUGUGUGAAGUAAGUAUUCAUACUGGCCAGCUUUACAGGUGGAGAGAGGCUGACUUUGUACUCUUGCAAAAAGGCUAAUAAUAGCUUUUCUAACAGUGAAUUUUUACCACCAGAAGUCUUGUAUAUGUUGUGCUCUAGAGUGUAGAUUUCUGUUAUUGAAUCAUUCUACAGAAUUAACACUAAGUAUUUUUUUAACCUCUGUUUUCUCAUAUGUUCUUAGU